AGAGAAUUAUGGAGAAUUAGAACUACAAAUUAUUCUUAAAUCAUCCCCAAUUUCAACAUAUGAAGAUGACGAAGAGGGAAGAUGGAGAGAGAGAAGUGGAGAGAGGAGUAGUUAGAGAGAGAAAUGGGUGGCAAAGGGUAUUUUAGAUAUUUUUUAGGAUUGUGUUAGUAAAGUGAUGUUGUAUUUAGCAACAUGUCUUUAAAAGUGUUUAUUAAAUGCUAAUUAUAUUUGUUGAGUUAAUUAUGUAUCAGAUUUUUUUUUUAAUUUGUUGGUGUAUGAUUUCUAUUUUUCAUGUUUGUAAUGUAUAUUAAUUAAUAUUUUUGUGAAAUUAUUAUUUGAAUUAUUUUUGGGUGUUAAGCUUAUAAUUAGUUGGAAUGAUAUUUAGCCAGUCAGAAAACCAAAGUCGGUUUAAUUUGUUUUGGCUUGUCAGUUUACGUUUAGAACCAUUGAACCCCCUUUUUGUUAUUUAUCUCGGUCAAUGAAACAAAAAGUCCACCUUUGCCCAUCUUUCUCUCAUCAUUUCUUAAACCCCAAAAGAAAAAAAAAACCCAAAUCUCGUGAAACCCCAUUUCGCUCCCCUACUUCGCGUUUCUCCUUUGCCCCGCUGUCAUCUUCCUCCAUCGCCUGAGCUUCGUCGUCUGCCACCGCAAGCUAGAGGUGUUGCUCCCAGCUUUUCCUUUCUCCUUUGUUCUCUAUUGCGUGUUGCUCAUGUUGUUGUCCCGCGGUGCUGCUGUCGCCACCGUCGCACGGUGUGGCAGCUCAAUUCUGGCCCGUCAUGAGGCGGAGAUUUCGUAGUAGGAGACUUUUAGUGAGUAAAAGUGGCCUACCGAUUUGUUUAUACAAGGUCAAAUGCUAAUUUUCAACUAUUACAUUCAUGAUUCUUGAAUAUGCAUAUAUUUAGAUGUAUGAGCUUUUUGUGGAUUUGAGCAUCAAUUUGAAGGUUAAUAUCAUGGGAAUGACGCUGACGCAAUGACGUGAUAACUCGCUGACAUGAUGCCAUAUGACAUGAUGACGAAGUAAUUAUGACUUGAAGAUAGAGCGAAGGACGCGAGAUUGGAGCAAAGCGUUAAGUGGUAACGGUCCAGCUAAAUAAGGAAGGAGUGUAAUGAGGCAUAAAUUCAGCCGUUAGAGAGCAAGGAUCAUGACGUUGGAGCGUAAAUGGAGAAGAUCUCCCAUGAUUGAAGCGCCAAAGUUAAUGUAAUAAUUAUUGAAUUCAUUUUUGUAUUCGUUGAGAAAAAGCCAAGAGAAAAAAGAAGGCAUAUAAAAGAGAGAGAGAGAGGUCAUUGACAAGUUUUUUACGCAGCACAAUUGGAAGAACACUAGAGAGAAAAUAACAUUCUUGUAACGACAGCCAGUCACUAAGAAAGAUAGUGAACCAUAUUAGUUUGGUGGAUCUCCAACCACCCGCGGUUUUUACCCACCUUCAUUGGGGUUAAAAUCCCCUUUGAUCCC